CUGAAACACCGAUUCUCGUACGAUCACUGAAGUUAAGCAACGUCAAGCCCGUUCAGUACCUAGAUGGGUGACAGCUUGGGAAUAUAAGCUGCUGUAG